GGUAAAAUGGCCGAGUGUUUAGGCGGUGGGCUGUAGUCCUACUCAGAGGGGUUCAAUUCCUUUUUUUACCA
rnacentral:tRNA from 1 species